GGGAGCGACUUGGCUUCGACAGGAGUAAGUCUGCUUAGAUGGCAUGUCGCUUUGGGCAAAGCGUAAAAAGCCCAAAUAAAAUUAAACGCAAACAACGUUAAAUUCGCUCCUGCUUACGCUAAAGCUGCGUAAGUUCAGUUGAGCCUGAAAUUUAAGUCAUACUAUCUAGCUUAAUUUUCGGUCAUUUUUGAUAGUGUAGCCUUGCGUUUGACAAGCGUUGAGGUGAAAUAAAGUCUUAGCCUUGCUUUUGAGUUUUGGAAGAUGAGCGAAGUAGGGUGAAGUAGUCAUCUUUGCUAAGCAUGUAGAGGUCUUUGUGGAAUUAUUUUUGGACAGGGGUUCGAUUCCCCUCGCUUCCACCA
rnacentral:tmRNA from 3 species